rnacentral:ncRNA from 1 species
AUAAAGUUUAAUUUUGAUUUAAAAAUUUAUUUAAUUUUUUAUUUACAUGUAAAUUUUAGUAUGAAUUUAAUAUUAAUUUUAAUAGUUAUAUUUAGAUAUUUUAUUCGCAGUAUGGGGUUUUAAUAAUUUAGGGUACUAAGAAUUAUAAAUAAAUUUAUAUAUUAACAAAAUUUGUGCCAGCAGUUGCGGUUAUACAAGAAAUAUAAAUAAAUUUUAUUGGUUAGUAAUAAAAUUUAUUUAGUUUAAUUAAAAUAGAAUUUAUAAAGUGAAAUUUUAAAUUUUUAAUAGUUAUAUUUAUGUUUAUUGAAAUUACGAAAUUUAUAAGAUAAACUAGGAUUAGAUACCCUAUUAUUUUAAAUGUUAAUUUUUAUCAGAGUAGUAUUAGUUAUGAUCUUGAAAUUUAAAAAUUUUGGCGGUAUUUUAGUCUGUUCAGAGGAACCUGUUCUAUAAUUGAUAGUCCACGAUAAAUUAUACUUUAUUUAUUAAUUUAUAUAUCGUCGUUAUUAAAUAUUUUAUUAGAAUUAUAAUAUUUAAGUUUUUUAAUUAAAAAAUAUAUCAGAUCAAGGUGUAGUUUAUAAUAGAGAAGAAAUGGGUUACAAUAAAUAUAUUUUUGAAUUUGUAUAUGAAAAUAUAUAAUGAAAUUGGAUUUGAAAGUAAUAAAUUUUAUAUUUAAUUUAUGAUUUUAGCUCUAAAAUGUGUACAUAUCGCCCGUCACUCUUAUUAUAAGAUAAGAUAAGUCGUAACAUAGUAGAUGUACUGGAAAGUGUAUCUAGAAAGU